GCUACUGCCAUCAGAGUUCGAUUAAGCCAUGUUAGUCGAGGGUACCUCCUCUUCUUCGGAGGAUGAGGUAACCCGGCGGACGGCUCAGUAACACGUGGAUAACUUGCCCUUGGGUCUGGGAUAACCCCUGGGAAACUGGGGCUAAUACCGGAUAGAGCAUCGAUCGCUGGAAUGCAUGAUGCUCGAAAACUACGGUGCCCAAGGAUAGGUCUGCGGCUGAUUAGGCUGUUGUUGAUGUAAUGGACCAACAAGCCUACGAUCGGUACGGGUUGUGAGAGCAAUAGCCCGGAGAUGGGUUCUGAGAAAAGAACCCAGGUCCUACGGGACGCAUCAGGCGCGAAAACUUUACAAUGUGCGAAAGCACGAUAAGGGAACUCUGAGUGCCCCCUAAGGGGGCUGUUCUAGUGUCUAAAAAGCAAUAGAAGUAAGGGCUGGGCAAGACCGGUGCCAGCCGCCGCGGUAACACCGGCAGCCCAAGUGGUAGCCACGUUUAUUGGGUCUAAAGCGUUCGUAGCCGGCUUGGUAAGUUCCUUGGUAAAUUUAGCCGCUUAACGGUUAAGCUUUCAGGGAAUACUGCUUGGCUUGGGACUGGGAGAGGUCAGAGGUACUCCAGGGGUAGGGGUGAAAUCCAUUAAUCCUUGGGGGACCACCGGUAGCGAAGGCGUCUGACCAGACCAGCUCCGACGGUGAGAGACGAAGGCUAGGGGCGCGAACCGGAUUAGAUACCCGGGUAGUCCUAGCUGUAAACGAUGCGGGCUAGGUGUUGGCAUUACUGCGAGUGGUGCCAGUGCCGAAGGGGAGCCGUUAAGCUCGCCAUCUGGGGAGUACGGUCGCAAGGCUUAAACUUAAAGGAAUUGGCGGGGGAGCACCACAACGGG
rnacentral:rRNA from 1 species